GCUAAUAUUAAUCAAAAGAGUUUACAAUUACAUAGAAAACCAGAUGAGGAGAUUGAAAUGGAAUGCAGUCCAGCUUAUACUACAAAUACUGCUGAUGAUCUAUCAAUGAAGGAUAGUCCAACAUACAUGUAUGCUACAGUACAAGAAGCACAAUCAACUGAUGAGCCAAUAUAUGAUACAGCUGGGCCUGAGUCUAUAUACUCCACCUGCUGAAUAUAAAAUACCAACAGUUUCAUGAUUUGGUGCACAAUACAACAUUAAAGUGUGUCUUUGUCAUAGAUUUAAACUUUAAAGUAGCAAAAAUAGAACAGCAGUUUAUUACGUCAUCAUUGAGUAUACCAAAUUUUACAAAAAAUAAAAUUCU